GCCUAUGGCCAUACCACCCUGAAAGCGCCCGAUCUCGUCUGAUCUCGGAAGCUAAGCAGGGACGGGCCUGGUUAGUACCUGGAUGGGAGACCGCCUGGGAAUACCAGGUGUUGUAGGCU
rnacentral:rRNA from 1 species